rnacentral:rRNA from 1 species
AUGAACGCUAGCUACAGGCUUAACACAUGCAAGUCGAGGGGCAGCAUUUCAGUUUGCUUGCAAACUGGAGAUGGCGACCGGCGCACGGGUGAGUAACACGUAUCCAACCUGCCGAUAACUCGGGGAUAGCCUUUCGAAAGAAAGAUUAAUACCCGAUGGUAUAAUCAGACCGCAUGGUCUUGUUAUUAAAGAAUUUCGGUUAUCGAUGGGGAUGCGUUCCAUUAGGCAGUUGGUGAGGUAACGGCUCACCAAACCUUCGAUGGAUAGGGGUUCUGAGAGGAAGGUCCCCCACAUUGGAACUGAGACACGGUCCAAACUCCUACGGGAGGCAGCAGUGAGGAAUAUUGGUCAAUGGACGCGAGUCUGAACCAGCCAAGUAGCGUGAAGGAUGACUGCCCUAUGGGUUGUAAACUUCUUUUAUAUGGGAAUAAAGUUUUCCACGUGUGGAAUUUUGUAUGUACCAUAUGAAUAAGGAUCGGCUAACUCCGUGCCAGCAGCCGCGGUAAUACGGAGGAUCCGAGCGUUAUCCGGAUUUAUUGGGUUUAAAGGGAGCGUAGGUGGACAGUUAAGUCAGUUGUGAAAGUUUGCGGCUCAACCGUAAAAUUGCAGUUGAUACUGGCUGUCUUGAGUACAGUAGAGGUGGGCGGAAUUCGUGGUGUAGCGGUGAAAUGCUUAGAUAUCACGAAGAACUCCGAUUGCGAAGGCAGCUCACUGGACUGCAACUGACACUGAUGCUCGAAAGUGUGGGUAUCAAACAGGAUUAGAUACCCUGGUAGUCCACACAGUAAACGAUGAAUACUCGCUGUUUGCGAUAUACAGUAAGCGGCCAAGCGAAAGCAUUAAGUAUUCCACCUGGGGAGUACGCCGGCAACGGUGAAACUCAAAGGAAUUGACGGGGGCCCGCACAAGCGGAGGAACAUGUGGUUUAAUUCGAUGAUACGCGAGGAACCUUACCCGGGCUUAAAUUGCAUUUGAAUAUAUUGGAAACAGUAUAGCCGUAAGGCAAAUGUGAAGGUGCUGCAUGGUUGUCGUCAGCUCGUGCCGUGAGGUGUCGGCUUAAGUGCCAUAACGAGCGCAACCCUUAUCUUUAGUUACUAACAGGUCAUGCUGAGGACUCUAGAGAGACUGCCGUCGUAAGAUGUGAGGAAGGUGGGGAUGACGUCAAAUCAGCACGGCCCUUACGUCCGGGGCUACACACGUGUUACAAUGGGGGGUACAGAAGGCAGCUACCUGGUGACAGGAUGCUAAUCCCAAAAGCCUCUCUCAGUUCGGAUCGAAGUCUGCAACCCGACUUCGUGAAGCUGGAUUCGCUAGUAAUCGCGCAUCAGCCAUGGCGCGGUGAAUACGUUCCCGGGCCUUGUACACACCGCCCGUCAAGCCAUGAAAGCCGGGGGUACCUGAAGUACGUAACCGCAAGGAGCGUCCUAGGGUAAAACUGGUAAUUGGGGCU